CUGAAGCUCAUUGUCUUCCCAGGCACCAGGAGAUUUCAGGAAGCUGGUAUAAAUCCUCAUGGGACUUGAAGGGCGAGUGGCCUGAAGUGGGUCACAAGUGAUCAGGGAUUCUCAAACUGCUGUUCCCAGCUUGCAUUUAAAAAUGGGAAAUAACUCAAAAGACAAUUGCAAACUCUCUGCAGUCAAGAUGGCUCCUGCUUGUAAUCUCAGUGUUCAGAAGGUAGGAAAGGACUACUGUGAGCACCAGGUCAGCCUGGACUAGAGAGAAGACUUUGUGUCAAAGAACGAAGUUUUAUAAAGGGCAGUCUUGUGGGGUAGAGGCAUGGCAGUAUACGAAGGACGUGUGCGUGUUUCUGUGUGUUUUCUUGCUCUUGUCCAUGCUGGAAGCAGAACUUCAUUGUACCGUCACUGCUCCCACAGUACUAUACCUGCUGGAUCCAGAACUGCGGCAGGGUCUGGAUCCCCUAGGGUUGCCACCAGGAUCACCAGAA
ensembl:processed_transcript